rnacentral:rRNA from 1 species
GAUGAACGCUGGCGGCGUGCCUAAUACAUGCAAGUCGAGCGAACGGACGAGAAGCUUGCUCCUCUGACGUUAGCGGCGGACGGGUGAGUAACACGUGGAUAACCUACCUAUAAGACUGGGAUAACUUCGGGAAACCGGAGCUAAUACCGGAUAAUAUAUUGAACCGCAUGGUUCAAUAGUGAAAGACGGUUUUGCUGUCACUUAUAGAUGGAUCCGCGCCGCAUUAGCUAGUUGGUAAGGUAACGGCUUACCAAGGCAACGAUGCAUAGCCGACCUGAGAGGGUGAUCGGCCACACUGGAACUGAGACACGGUCCAGACUCCUACGGGAGGCAGCAGUAGGGAAUCUUCCGCAAUGGGCGAAAGCCUGACGGAGCAACGCCGCGUGAGUGAUGAAGGUCUUCGGAUCGUAAAACUCUGUUAUUAGGGAAGAACAAAUGUGUAAGUAACUAUGCACGUCUUGACGGUACCUAAUCAGAAAGCCACGGCUAACUACGUG